rnacentral:rRNA from 1 species
CCUACGGGAGGCAGCAGUGAGGAAUAUUGGUCAAUGGACGAGAGUCUGAACCAGCCAAGUAGCGUGAAGGAUGACUGCCCUAUGGGUUGUAAACUUCUUUUAUAAAGGAAUAAAACGAGGCACGUGUGCCUUUUUGCAUGUACUUUAUGAAUAAGGAUCGGCUAACUCCGUGCCAGCAGCCGCGGUAAUACGGAGGAUCCGAGCGUUACCCGGAUUUAUUGGGUUUAAAGGGAGCGUAGAUGGGUUGUUAAGUCAGUUGUGAAAGUUUGCGGCUCAACCGUAAAAUUGCAAUUGAUACUGGCAGUCGUGAGUACAGUUGAGGUAGGCGGAAUUCGUGGUGUAGCGGUGAAAUGCUUAGAUAUCACGAAGAACCCCGAUUGCGAAGGCAGCUUACUAAACUGUGACUGACAUUGAUGCUCGAAAGUGUGGGUAUCAAACAGGAUUAGAUACCCCGGUAGUC